GACGGCAAAGCCACACCCGCCGCGAGACGGGGCCGGAAAGCCAUGGGGUCUGUUUCAGACAGCCCGGUUGCCGCUC
rnacentral:ncRNA from 1 species